rnacentral:rRNA from 1 species
AGUGAACGCUGGCGGUAGGCCUAACACAUGCAAGUCGAACGGCAGCACAGUAAGAGCUUGCUCUUACGGGUGGCGAGUGGCGGACGGGUGAGGAAUACAUCGGAAUCUACUUUUUCGUGGAGGAUAACGUAGGGAAACUUACGCUAAUACCGCAUACGACCUACGGGUGAAAGCAGGGGAUCUUCGGACCUUGCGCGAUUGAAUGAGCCGAUGUCGGAUUAGCUAGUUGGCGGGGUAAAGGCCCACCAAGGCGACGAUCCGUAGCUGGUCUGAAAGGAUGAUCAGCCACACUGGAACUGAGACACGGUCCAGACUCCUACGGGAGGCAGCAGUGGGGAAUAUUGGACAAUGGGCGCAAGCCUGAUCCAGCCAUACCGCGUGGGUGAAGAAGGCCUUCGGGUUGUAAAGCCCUUUUGUUGGGAAAGAAAAGCAGCAGGUUAAUACCCCGCUGUUCUGACGGUACCCAAAGAAUAAGCACCGGCUAACUUCGUG